GUUUCUCGUGGUGUCUUGUGGGAGUGGCGGUGCGAUCCCUCUCAGACUUGUGAGUCCCUGCUGGAGUCAGAAGUUUUAGGCGAAUCCCAGGCGCGCCAAGGAAAGUGCUACAAAAGCCAUCCAUCUUGCAAGCGUUGGUGCCGAGGCGCAACGCUGAGAACGCAAAUACUAAAGGGCGCUGUUCUUUCCUCGUGGAGCUCACAGUCCGCUGGGGAGACCGUGAGAUGACAGCAGAGAAACUAGCGCGAUCAGUAGUACUCAGCGCAAGGACAGCGAGCAGAGAAGGCAAACCUAGUGCUUGCUAAGGAAGACUUCACAGAGGAGGUAGUGUCAGGGCCGAGACUAGGAGAAGGAUUCUCCAGGCUUCAUACGGUAAAACUCUCUGGGAAGGAAAGGAACUCAGAGUCCCAUGCAGAAAAUUGUUCAGCUGGAGGGGUAUCAGAAAGAUGGAUUUCCAAAGCCAACUGUUUCCUGUAGUGUGUGGAUCUCUGCAAGCAGAGCCUCAUCUUUCAAUUUCAGCUACAUGAAAGAGGAAGAAAGGGAAAGAUAUAUGUCAUACGUGAUAUACUUUAUGUGGCUUUGAAGACCCCUCUUUUGUGGGGCUACGGCUAAAGAACAUAGUUCCCUGGGAUGGAAUUGGCUCUUCCUAUUUCCCUACUUCAUGAAAACUCCAGUAGAAGACCUUAGAACCUUGUCCUGGUUACAUGGAUAUGUUUACUUUGUGAAAAUUCAUCAAGCACUAUGCACGGUCAUGAUUUGUACAUUUUUUUGUAAGAUAACUUCAUUAAAAUUUACUUUUUUUAUUUUUAAAAA
rnacentral:lncRNA from 1 species